rnacentral:rRNA from 1 species
GAUGAACGCUGGCGGCGUGCCUAAUACAUGCAAGUCGAGCGAACGGACGAGAAGCUUGCUUCUCUGAUGUUAGCGGCGGACGGGUGAGUAACACGUGGAUAACCUACCUAUAAGACUGGGAUAACUUCGGGAAACCGUAGCUAAUACCGGAUAAUAUUUUGAACCGCAUGGUUCAAAAGUGAAAGACGGUCUUGCUGUCACUUAUAGAUGGAUCCACGCUGCAUUAGCUGGUUGGUAAGGUAACGGCUUACCAAGGCAACGAUGCAUAGCCGACCUGAGAGGGGGAUCGGCCACACUGGAACUGAGACACGGUCCAGACUCCUACGGGAGGCAGCAGUAGGGAAUCUUCCGCAAUGGGCGAAAGCCUGACGGAGCAACGCCGCGUGAGUGAUGAAGGUCUUCGGAGCGUAAAACUCUGUUAUUAGGGAAGAACAUAUGUGUAAGUAACUGUGCACAUCUUGACGGUAACUAAUCAGAAAGCCACGGCUAACUACGUG